GUCCCGAGCAUCCCCCUGCUCAGCCACCCCAGGCUGCUCGUGGCCCAGGGGAUUUGGUGCACCUGAAGAUGUGACCGUGGCCCUGGUCACAUCUCCCUGCAGCUGACAGGGACAAGCAGCACCAAGGGCUCUGGAAGUGGGGCCAGAGACACCACAGGGUGUGUGAACACCUGGGGAAGGGGACACACUGCAACAUUUCUGCUGCACAAAACCCAUCCACUAAACCUCAUGAGAAGCCAGUGAGUCUGUGCAAGAGACCAAAAGGCAGGAACCCUUCAGGAAACUGGAAUUGGGACCAGAGAAGUCAUUGUUGGUCCAAGACACCUUCUGGACAAGGCUGUGAACAACGCCAUCUAACUACUGAGCCUGCUUUCACCAGGGAGUUGGACUCGAGAUCUCCAGAGCUCCCUCUUGAUCCAAGUUACUCUGUGAAGACCAAUUGGGCUUUGCAUGGAUCUUCCCUACUAGUCCAGGAAAUGCCUCCUCCAGACAGAUGCGGAGUGAUAUCAAGUUCCUGGAGCCCCAGCUACAAGCAUGGGCCACAGCACAGCUUCCCUGUGCAGCCUGGGGUACCCAGGACUCCAUGCAUCCACUGCAGAUGGCAAGUAGGAACACUGAGAGCUCAGAAGGGACUAACCCUGGGCACACUGUACAGCAGACAGCUGGGCAAAGACUUCCCUGGAGGUGGUUUUACCAAAACUGAAUGGGUCUGUAACACCCAAUUCUAAGUGCCUCACAUCUGGGCCCCUGCUUGUGGUGCUGGGCAUCCAUUCAGGGAUGCAGGAUGACCCACGUGUGUGCAGCUCCCACAGACACCCACGCCAGUGGAACCAGGCACAAGAAUCAGCCCCACACUGCCCACAGAGCUCUCCAACAGCCACUGCUUCAACCAGGCAAACUGAAGAACAGGGGAAGGCUUUGAUUUCAACUUGGGACUGCUCUGAUCGUCACACACAGCCCAGGGGGAAGAGCGUAUCGUUAAUGAGGAGUGUAAUAGCUGGAGACUUUCACUCCAUAUGGCUUUGGUGCAAACAUUUAGACAGCCAGCAGCAAGCCCAGGAUGAGUCACAGCAGCAGCCAGUGCAGGGUUGAGUUGCAAGUGAUUUCGUUCAUGAUUAAAGUUGGGCAAUAGA